GAACAAAUCAAGCGCGAGAAGGGCGUUUGGUGGAUGCCUUGGCAGUAAGAGGCGAUGAAGGACGUGAUACUCUGCGAUAAGUCAUGGUGAGCUGAGAAUAAGCUUUGAUCCAUGAAUUUCCGAAUGGGGCAACCCACUUGAAAGUUUGUUAUAAUAGCCUUCGGGCUGCUUAUAAUAAGCUUAACCAAGUACUUAUUACCUGAAUACAUAGGGUUUUAAGAGCAAACCCGGGGAACUGAAACAUCUAAGUACCCGGAGGAAAGGAAAUCAAUUGAUACUCCCCUAGUAGCGGCGAGCGAACGGGGACCAGCCGAGCCCGAUGAGUGACCAGAAUGUGUUGGGAAGCACAGCCAUAGCGGGUGAUAGCCCCGUAUGGGAAGCUCUGAAGGACGUAUUAAGUAGGGCGGAACACGUGAAAUUCUGUCUGAAGAUCGGAGGACCACCUUCGAAGGCUAAGUACUCCUUACUGACCGAUAGCGAACCAGUACCGUGAGGGAAAGGUGAAAAGCACCCCGACAAGGGGAGUGAAACAGUCCCUGAAACCGAACGCCUACAAUCAGUCGGAGGAUCUUUACGAUCUGACGGCGUACCUUUUGUAUAAUGGGUCAUCGACUUGGUCUCACGUGCAAGCUUAAGCCGUUAGGUGUAGGCGCAGCGAAAGCGAGUCUUAAUAGGGCGAAUGAGUUCGUGGGAUCAGACCCGAAACCGAGUGAUCUAGGCAUGACCAGGCUGAAGGUGCGGUAACACGCACUGGAGGGCCGAACCCACACCUGUUGAAAAAGGUCGGGAUGAGUUGUGCCUAGGGGUGAAAGGCCAAUCAAACUCGGAGAUAGCUGGUUCUCUGCGAAAUCUAUUUAGGUAGAGCGUCAUCCGAAUACCCCGGGGGGUAGAGCACUGGAUGGGUAAUGGGGCCCCACAGGCUUACUGAUCCUAACCAAACUCCGAAUACCCGGGAGUACUAGAUGGCAGACACACUGCGGAUGCUAACGUCCGUAGUGGAGAGGGAAACAACCCUGACCUCCGGCUAAGGCCCCUAAUUCAUGGCUAAGUGGGAAAGCAGGUGGGAUGUCCAAAACAACCAGGAGGUUGGCUUAGAAGCAGCCAUCCUUUAAAGAUAGCGUAACAGCUCACUGGUCUAAUUAAGACGUCCUGCGGCGAAGAUGUAACGGGGCUCAAGCCAUGAGCCGAAGCCGAGGAUGCACAUAGUGCAUGGUAGCAGAGCGUAGUGUGAUAUAGUUCCAUGCGUCUUUAGCCUUCCUCCGGAAGGUGUUGGACGCAAGGAGCUUUCGAUGAAGCGGGCGCGUGAGCGAUCCCGUGGAGAGAUCACUAGUGAGAAUGAUGACAUGAGUAGCGACAAAGAGUGUGAGAGACACUCUCGCCGAAAGUCCAAGGGUUCCUGCUUAAAGCUAAUCUGAGCAGGGUAAGCCGGCCCCUAAGCCGAGGCCGAAAGGCGUAGGCGAUGGGAACCAGGUUAAUAUUCCUGGGCCAGGAGGAUGUGACGGAUUGUGAAGGUAGUUCAUCCUUAUCGGAUUGAAUGAGCUGCUGAUCAGUCCCUGGAAAUAGCCCUCCAUGAGACCGUACCCUAAACCGACACAGGUGGACUGGUAGAGAAUACCAAGGCGCUUGAGAGAACGAUGUUGAAGGAACUCGGCAAAAUACCUCCGUAAGUUCGCGAGAAGGAGGCCCGGGUCCUACGCAAGUGGAAUCCGGGGGCACAAACCAGGGGGUGGCGACUGUUUAUUAAAAACAUAGGGCUCUGCGAAGUCGUAAGACGACGUAUAGGGUCUGACGCCUGCCCGGUGCCUGAAGGUUAAAAGGAGGGGUGAGAGCUCUGAAUUGAAGCCCAGGUAAACGGCGGCCGUAACUAUAACGGUCCUAAGGUAGCGAAAUUCCUUGUCGGGUAAGUUCCGACCUGCACGAAUG
rnacentral:rRNA from 1 species